rnacentral:rRNA from 1 species
UACAGAGGGUGCAAGCGUUGUUCGGAAUUAUUGGGCGUAAAGAGCUCGUAGGCGGUUCGAUAAGUCGGGUGUGAAACCUCCAGGCUCAACCUGGAGACGCCACCCGAUACUGUCGUGACUAGAGUCCAGUAGGGGAGCGUGGAAUUCCUGGUGUAGCGGUGAAAUGCGCAGAUAUCAGGAGGAACACCAGCGGCGAAGGCGGCGCUCUGGGCUGGAACUGACGCUGAGGAGCGAAAGCGUGGGGAGCGAACAGG